rnacentral:rRNA from 1 species
AUGAACGCUGGCGGCAUGCCUAACACAUGCAAGUCGAUCGGUAAGGCUCUUCGGAGUACACGAGAGGCGGACGGCUGAGUAACGCGUAGGAACACACCCUGCAGUGAGGGAUAAGACACCGAAAGGUGUUCUAAUACCGCAUACGGUCUUCGGAUUAAAGCAUUUAUGCGCUGAAGGAGUGGCCUGCGUCAUAUUAGAUAGUUGGUGAGGUAAUGGCUCACCAAGUCGAUGAUGUGUAGCUGGUCUGAGAGGAUGAUCAGCCAGACUGGAACUGAGACACGGUCCAGUCUCCUACGGGAGGCAGCAGUGAGGAAUAUUGCACAAUGAGCGAAAGCUUGAUGGAGCAAUGCCGCGUGCAGGAUGAAGGCCCUCGGGUUGUAAACUGCUUUUAUAAGAGAAGAUUAUGACGGUAACUUAUGAAUAAGGGACGGCUAACUACGUG